UCACCUGACCUCCCAUGCCUGU
rnacentral:miRNA from 1 species